rnacentral:tRNA from 1 species
UCCCUGGUAGCUCAGUUGGUAGAGCAGUCGGCUGUUAACCGACUUGUCACAGGUUCGAGUCCUGUCCAGGGAGCCA